rnacentral:lncRNA from 13 species
ACAUUAGGUUCAGUUCUCCUCAUGUCAGUCAAAGUCAAGUAAAACAGCUUAAUCAUCCAUCUACCUGUUGAGUUGUUGUUGGUCGAGGCAUAAAGACAAUGCAGGUAAAGUAUCGGUCUAAAAUGGCCGGAAUAUCUAAAAGUGGCAAUGUAAGACAAGGCUGACACUAUAAGUUUUCAACAGACCGAUUUAAGUCCACUCAGAAUGUUUAGACAGGGCCCCAUUGGGAAGUGGGUGUCCCAUACUCAUUGCCAAUGUUCUAGAGUGCUGUCUAUCAAGGAGAAAAUCUGCCCCGUGAUUUACCAGUAACAAUAACUAUUUGUGGUGUUUGCUUUACUUGGGCUCUAUGCGGUACCAUGUCAGUUCUGACAGCACAUUUAGUUCUGUAAGCCCCACCCUGCAACCAGUUGAGAGUAGAGCAGCUCCUUUUUUGUGAGAGAGUGUCACAGACGACGGAUAACUAGAGGUCUCUUUUCUAACGCUUAGCACUGUUGGUAGAGGAUGAGUGCACAGGUCCCCUGUGCUGCGGUACAACUCCGUAUGGUGUAGAGGACCGAGGGGUGCUGUGCUGUAACCAGACCUUGCACCAUGUGGUGGAGGAUGGGUACCAGUGCUCCCCAGGUGGCCACUUGUAUCUGCCAUCCCGUGAGAUGGUGUGUGGCUCACGAGUUCAUCUGAACGAUCCAGACAAACACUGCUGUGGGGAGGAGACAUACUACCCUUGGAAUGAAAUCUGCUGCAACGGACGCAAACACCACAGGUUGAGAAAUGUUUCCUGCUGCGGAGGGAAGGCCUACGACCCCAGCAGUGGCCAGAUGAAGUGCUGUGCAGGGACUCUGUACGACCUGCAGUUUCAGGACAGACUCUCAGAGGAAGCCCAGUGCUGUGGGAGUGUCCUGAUGGAGGCCGGCUCCACCCAGACCUGCUGCUCUGCCCCAGGGCUAGACGUGCUCUACCCUACCCAGCCAGGCUUCACCUGCUGUGGGCACCGCUACCCCAAUGCCUCCCUGUGGUCUUGCUGCGCCGGGGUCCUGCACUCAAGGCCUGAACCACACAACACCACCAAGAACGUGAUUCCAGGACCCAGACUUCUACCACUGGGGGAUCUGAAGACUGAAGUCCUGUGUCACAGCAGAGGUAAGGCCUCCAGUUUGAAGCACAAGAUGACAGGAAACAUUACUCACUACUUUGAUCUUUAGUAAGAACAGUGGGAAGCACUAGAAUCUUCUUUGACUCUUGGAAGUACAGUGGUUUCACAACGCUUAUCUAAAGUGUGUGUGUGUGUGUGUGUGUGUGUGUGUGUGUGUGUGUGUGUGUGUGUGUGUGUGUGUCCAGUUCUGCUGGGGACAGUGGAGAGUGUGUCUGUGAAGAUGAAUGAGCGGUCCAUCGUGAUGGUGAACGCCAUGGACAUGCCGGCCUCGCGUGGCCAUGUCAGCGCCGUGCCUUUCCCUCACUACCUCACAUUACCCGACCACUGCAGCUCCCCUGAACUGGUGCCGGGCAACACUUACAUCUGGGUGAAAAAUAAUUUCUCAGACACCAUAAGUUUCAUCUCUGAUCUCAGCGAUCAUUCCUCCCCUCUUCAUUCCAUCCUUUCCAGGUGCUGAACCUUUUUCUUUCCCAGAGUAAAGCUCUACAUAAUGUUUUAAAGCUUUACAGUGUUUGUUUGCAAGUACAUUGUUAACAAUCAACGGUGUAAUAAAAAGCUCAUCUUGGGUUCAGAUGGGGUUCGACAAGUAGACAAGCCAUGUGUGUGAAGUGAAUAUCACAUUGUGCAGGAAAAAAAAGCCUAUUUUAACCAAGCAUUUGUGUGUAGGUGUAUGACUUCACCAUGCAUCAAUUCAGGUGGUGUUG